UUCAACUCUUAAUCAGGUUCCUCUGGGGCACUACUAUGCCACAGUUUCAUGAACAUCAUUAUCAAGCCUGAUUUUUGCCCUGUGGCUGCAACAAUGGACUUUUCACCUAGUACAUGUUUUCACUCUCUGAACGAAGUCACGUGUUUUCUUUUUUUCCCCCUCAGGUGAGAUUUUUGGGAGGGAAUGUGACAUAGAGUUCUGGAUUUAUUCCAAUAAUUUUGGUAAAAUAGUACCUUAACCUUCCUACCUUGGGAUUCCCUGGUGGCUCAGAUGGUAAAGAAUCUGCCUGCAGUGCAGGAGACCCAGGUUCAAUCCCUGGGUCCAGAAGAUCCCCUGGAGAAGGAAAUGGCAAUUCACUCCAGUAUUUUUGCCUGGAGAAUUCCAUGGACAGAGGAGCCUGGCGGGCUACAGUCCAUGGGGUCACAAAAAGCUGGACACGGCUGAACGACUUCCACUUCACUUCACUUUGACCUUCACUUUCCUGAUUCCUUAUAACAUAUGUCCUUCUUCUCAUGGGGAAGUAAUCACCAGAUUCCCGGACUGGGGAGUCUCAAGGCAGAUUUUUAAUGAAGCUUUGGAUUGGGGUGUCAGAGCAGCAAGUGGCUGGACUGGUAUUCAAACCCUGACAACUUCUUCAUGAGGCAGAAGAGUGAAGAGGUAAGGCUGGGGGCUGGAGGCUGAUGUUUUCAAGGCUUUGAAGUCUCUCCUC
ensembl:lncRNA